rnacentral:rRNA from 1 species
UGGGGAAUAUUGCGCAAUGGAGAGACACUCUGACGCAGCAAUACCGUGUGAGCGAGGAAGGUCUUCGGAUCGUAAAGCUCUGUACACGGGGAAGAAAAAAAUGACGGUACCCGUGGAGCAAGUCCCGGCUAACUACGUGCCAGCAGCCGCGGUAACACGUAGGGGACAAGCGUUGUCCGGAAUGACUGGGCGUAAAGGGCGCGCAGGCGGCCUUUUAAGCAGGAAGUGAAAGGCCCCGGCUCAACCGGGGAGGUGCUUUCUGAACUGGAAGGCUUGAGUAUUGGAGAGGCAGGCGGAAUUCCUGGUGUAGCGGUGAAAUGCGCAGAGAUCAGGAGGAACACCGGAGGCGAAGGCGGCCUGCUGGACAAAUACUGACGCUGAGGCGCGAAAGCGUGGGGAGCAAACAGG